CCUACGGGGGGCUGCAGUGGGGAAUAUUGCACAAUGGGGGAAACCCUGAUGCAGCGACGCCGCGUGAGCGAUGAAGUAUUUCGGUAUGUAAAGCUCUAUCAGCAGGGAAGAAAAUGACGGUACCUGACUAAGAAGCCCCGGCUAACUACGUGCCAGCAGCCGCGGUAAUACGUAGGGGGCAAGCGUUAUCCGGAUUUACUGGGUGUAAAGGGAGCGUAGACGGUCCUGCAAGCCAGAUGUGAAAGCCCGGGGCUCAACCCCGGGACUGCAUUUGAAACUGUAAGGCUAGAGUGCAGGAGAGGCAGGCGGAAUUCCUAGUGUAGCGGUGAAAUGCGUAGAUAUUAGGAGGAACACCAGUGGCGAAGGCGGCCUACUGGACGAUGACUGACGUUGAGGCUCGAAAGCGUGGGGAGCAAACAGGAUUAGAUACCCGAGUAGUC
rnacentral:rRNA from 1 species